rnacentral:rRNA from 1 species
AUUGAACGCUGGCGGCAGGCCUAACACAUGCAAGUCGAACGAGUGGCGGACGGGUGAGUAAUGUCUGGGAAACUGCCUGAUGGAGGGGGAUAACUACUGGAAACGGUAGCUAAUACCGCAUACCAUCAGAUGUGCCCAGAUGGGAUUAGCUAGGUGGUGGUGUAACGGCUCACCAAGGCGACGAUCCCUAGCUGGUCUGAGAGGAUGACCAGCAACACUGGAACGGAGACACGGUCCAGACUCCUACGGGUGGCAGCAGUGGGGAAUAUUGCGCAAUUGGCGGAAGCCUGAUUCAGCCAUGCCGCGUGUAUGAAGAAGGCCUUCGGGUUGUAAAGUACUUUCAGCGGGGAGGCGUUACCCGCCGAAGAAGCACCGGCUAACUCCGUGCCAGCAGCCGCGGUAAUUC